rnacentral:rRNA from 1 species
UAAGCGGAGGAAAAGAAACUAACAAGGACUCCCCUAGUAACUGCGAGUGAAGCGGGAAAAGCUCAAAUUUAAAAUCUGGCGGUCUUUGGCCGUCCGAGUUGUAAUUUAGAGAAGCGUCUUCCGCGCUGGACCGUGCACAAGUCUCCUGGAAUGGAGCGUCAUAGAGGGUGAGAAUCCCGUCUUUGGCACGGAUGCCUGGUGCUUCUGUGAUGCGCUCUCGAAGAGUCGAGUUGUUUGGGAAUGGAGCUCAAAAUGGGUGGUGAACUCCAUCUAAAGCUAAAUAUUGGCGAGAGACCGAUAGCGAACAAGUACCGUGAGGGAAAGAUGAAAAGCACUUUGGAAAGAGAGUGAAACAGUACGUGAAAUUGUUGAAAGGGAAACGCUUGAAGUCAGUCGCGUCGACCGAGACUCAGCCUUGCCUUGGCUUGGUGUACUUCUCGGCCCGACGGGUCAGCAUCAAUUUUGCCCCUCGGAUAAUGGCAAGGGAAAGGUGGCACCUUUACGGGUGUGUUAUAGUCUCCUGUCGAAUGCGAGGGGUGGGAUUGAGGAACUCAGCGCGCACCUCAGUGUCGGGGCUUCGGCCCACGUCACGCGCUUAGGAUGCUGGCGUAAUGGCUUUAAACGACC